AGACGAUGAGUUUAGGACACCAGGACCUCAAGAGAACCAUCAGAAAAGAGAGGCUUACAUGGAGACAGGAAGUGUAGGACCCUGAGCUUUAUUAGCACGCUACUCAGAGCACUCCCUCCCCUCUGCACCCCAUUUCCCACUUUCAGUAUCUCAGUAAACAGAGGGGACAAUGGAGGAGAGACAGCUGAGCCACCUCCAUCUUCUCCACUUCCAGCUCUCAGGGGCUUCUCCUCAGGGGAGGCUGUUGGCACUGGUAGAAUACUGUUGUCUUCUGGGCCGUCUGUCCUCUGGGCUUCUAGUGGGAGGGACAGAGCUGGGCAACCUGGGGCUCUGACCAGAGAGGUGGUGUGACCUGUGCUGGCAAGGCCUGGAAGGAGAGUAGUUGGGAGCUACUAGGGGACAGAUGAAUAGGAAAAGAUUGUGAGGUUCCCCAGGGAUAAGUGAGAUGCAGUAAUAGCCUCUCCUCCUCCUGCAACUUGGAGGCAGGCUCCUUUCCUGGCGAGACUGGAGCAGGUGUCAAGGAGUGUCAAAGUUACAUGGGACACCUUUGUCAGAGCCUGGGCUCCCCAUCUCAAUAGGAUCUGUCCCACCUGGACACUUUCCCACCCCAGGUUGGGACACACCCUAGACCCUACCUGACAGGGUGGGCUAGUGGCUGACAGAUCCCGACGCUGCCCUGCUCCAUAGGACACGGAGGACCAGAGGUCCAGGCUCUUGGGGACAGACGUUUUCUCUGACUUUGGAGGGAGG
rnacentral:lncRNA from 1 species